rnacentral:rRNA from 1 species
GAUGAACGCUAGCUACAGGCUUAACACAUGCAAGUCGCGGGGCAGCAUGGGGGUUGCUUGCAAUCCCCGAUGGCGACCGGCGCACGGGUGAGUAACGCGUAUCCAACCUGCCCUUCACCACGGGAUAACCCGGCGAAAGUCGGACUAAUACCGUAUGUUGUCCAUUGACGGCAUCCGAUUUGGACGAAAGGCUUGGCGGUGAGGGAUGGGGAUGCGUCCGAUUAGCCAGACGGCGGGGUAACGGCCCACCGUGGCUACGAUCGGUAGGGGUUCUGAGAGGAAGGUCCCCCACACUGGAACUGAGACACGGUCCAGACUCCUACGGGAGGCAGCAGUGAGGAAUAUUGGUCAAUGGGCGUAAGCCUGAACCAGCCAAGUAGCGUGCAGGAUGACGGCCCUAUGGGUUGUAAACUGCUUUUAUGCGGGGAUAAAGUGGCCCACGUGUGGGCUUUGGCAGGUACCGCAUGAAUAAGGACCGGCUAAUUCCGU